rnacentral:rRNA from 1 species
CCUACGGGAGGCUGCAGUGGGGAAUAUUGCACAAUGGGGGAAACCCUGAUGCAGCGACGCCGCGUGAGUGAAGAAGUAUCUCGGUACGUAAAGCUCUAUCAGCAGGGAAGAAAAUGACGGUACCUGACUAAGAAGCCCCGGCUAACUACGUGCCAGCAGCCGCGGGAAUACGUAGGGGGCAAGCGUUAUCCGGAUUUACGGGGUGUAAAGGGAGCGUAGGCGGCAGCACAAGUCUGGAGUGAAAUCCCCGGGCUUAACCCCGGAACUGCUUUGGAAACUGGGCGGCUGGAGUGCAGGAGGGGUAAGCGGAAUUCCUAGUGUAGCGGUGAAAUGCGUAGAUAUUAGGAGGAACACCGGUGGCGAAGGCGGCUUACUGGACUGUAACUGACGUUGAGGCUCGAAAGCGUGGGGAGCAAACAGGAUUAGAUACCCCUGUAGUC